UUGGGUUUAUUACGUUUUAUUUAUUACAAUGUUUAAAUUUUUUUUUAUUAUAAAUACCGUUUGUAAUGUUUUUAAAAAUCAUAAAAUUCCGUAUAAUCGAUAUAGAAAGGAGCGUUUAUUGUUAAAUUCUUAAAGAGUUUUUUAAUUAUCAAAAAAUGAAGUUAAAUUUUAUGGCUAUUAUUGGUGUUAUCAUAAUGAUGUUUGCUGCUGAAUCGCAAAGUUGUUUACCAAAUGGAUCAUAUCGUUGUACAUCAAAUAGACAGUGUUGCAGUGGUUUUUGUAAGCGCAACGUUAGUGGCUUUGGUCUUUGUCGAAAACGUUAAGACGAAAUAAUAAAAUUGAAAUAAAUAUUAAAGUUGCAA